CUUUCAUAUGCAUUGAAGGAAAGAAAAAUGAUCAAUCUUGUGAAAAUCCUAACAGUGAAAAAAAGAUUGGCAGUGUUUCUGUUCAUGUAGAGUAGAAUCAACGAUUCAUUCAUACAAGCAUAAGGGAUCCUUAUGCUUCAAAGUUACAUUUAGUGAUCAUUUUGGAUGUCUUCUUGCCAACCCUCUAUCUCAGCCACUUGUGCUUCAUGUCCAUAUUGCUGUUUAUAAAUAGUUUUACAAGCAGACACCAUGAUGUUUUUGAUGUGGUCCUCAUGAUAGGGAUUAAGAUGGAGAAGUGGAGCUAGAUGAUGUUUGGUUUGCAUAUCCUUCUCCACCAAAUCAUAUGGUGCUGAAUGUAAUAAUCUUGAUAGGUUUACAUAUACUAAAAUUGCAUUGAGUUGUCCAUAUUGGAAAAUUAUAUUAUUACUAUAUCUGAAAAAGAGAAAAAUGAGAGGAAGCAGGGGGACAGGAGAAUAGAAACACUAUAUGUCCAGAAAUAAAUAUGGAUAAAGUAUUCUGAUGCAUCCAAGAAUCCUCUUACUAGUUGAAGCAACAAGUGCAUUGGAUGUUGAAAGUGAAUAUCUUGUUCAGGAUGCCAUGGAUUCUCUCAUGAAGGGACGGACUGUUCUUGCAAUAGCUCAUAGGCUUUCGACUGUUAAAAGUGCAAACACUGUGGUAGUUGUAUCUGAUAGUAAGGUAGUCUAAAAUGGCACACAAAGAACUCCUUAUGAAGGAUGGCAUCUACGCUGCACUGGUGAGGAUGCAGGUACAAGGACCCCAAAAAGGACUUUGAGUCCAUUCAACCAAAACACUUAGAAGGCAGAAGCAAUCAAUGAGGUUCUAUACGGGAUCAAUGUCAUGAUAAUAAAACACAUUUUUGGGCAUUGGUUUCACAAAUUACUAAUUGUAAGACCUGUGGACAAGAAUUAAAUGAUUCUGUAUUAGAGAAGAGGCUAUAGUGUAAUUUGUGUGGAAGAAUGGAGAAAAUGAGGUUAUUCUUCCUUCGUGUUUAACUCUUAUGUUCUACGUAUGAUCAGCAUGGCUUUGGUGAUUCAUUAUUUUCUAAGGUCAAAAGACACUAGCAUGGAGCCAGCUUAGAUGUAAGAAAGAAUUGAAAUGUACAUUGAGAGAUAUAAAAGCUUGAUGAGAAUCUAUUGCCUAAUAUGUUUGUAUGUCAAAAGCUUGGGGAAAGUGAUGUUUUAGAAGUGAGAAAAUUCUUCUUUUUCUUUUUCUUUGCUGAA